rnacentral:rRNA from 1 species
CCUGGCCUUGACAUACUAAGAACUUUCCAGAGAUGGAUUGGUGCCUUCGGGAACUUAGAUACAGGUGCUGCAUGGCUGUCGUCAGCUCGUGUCGUGAGAUGUUGGGUUAAGUCCGCAACGAGCGCAACCCUUUUCCUUAUUUGCCAGCGGGUAAUGCCGGGAACUUUAAGGAUACUGCCAGUGACAAACUGGAGGAAGGCGGGGACGACGUCAAGUCAUCAUGGCCCUUACGGCCAGGGCUACACACGUGCUACAAUGGUCGGUACAAAGGGUUGCUACCUCGCGAGAGGAUGCUAAUCUCAAAAAGCCGAUCGUAGUCCGGAUCGCAGUCUGCAACUCGACUGCGUGAAGUCGGAAUCGCUAGUAAUCGCGGAUCAGAAUGCCGCGGUGAAUACGUUCCCGGGCCUUGUACACGCCGCCCGUCACACCAUGGGAGUUUGUUGCACCAGAAGUAGGUAGUCUAACCGCAAGGAGGACGCUUACCACGGUGUGGCCGAUGACUGGGGUGAAGUCGUAACAAGGUAGGCGUAGAUGA